CUACGCCGACUGGUCAUGAAGCGAAGCCUGGUUCAUCCUCACCCAAUGCUGCUUUUCUGGGGCGGCCGCGUGAGUCUGAGAGCCAAUCAGAGGCGACGUCGCUUGUGCGCCUCCACGUCGGCAGCAGCUGCGGUCAAGAUGGAGGCACUGAUUUUGGAGCCCUCCCUGUACACUGUCAAGGCCGUCCUGAUUCUGGACAAUGAUGGAGAUCGACUCUUUGCUAAGUACUAUGACGACACCUAUCCCAGUGUCAAGGAGCAAAAGGCCUUUGAGAAGAACAUUUUCAACAAGACCCAUCGGACAGAUAGUGAAAUUGCUCUGUUGGAAGGGCUGACAGUGGUCUAUAAAAGUAGCAUCGAUCUCUAUUUCUAUGUGAUUGGCAGCUCCUAUGAAAACGAGUUGAUGCUUAUGGCUGUUCUGAAUUGCCUGUUUGACUCCUUGAGCCAGAUGCUGAGGAAGAAUGUAGAAAAGAGAGCUCUGCUGGAGAACAUGGAGGGGCUCUUCUUGGCUGUGGAUGAAAUUGUAGACGGAGGGGUGAUCCUAGAGAGCGACCCCCAGCAAGUGGUGCACCGGGUGGCUUUGCGGGGUGAGGACGUCCCCCUUACAGAGCAGACCGUGUCUCAGGUAUACCUCUUCUCUCUUCAUCCCCCCAGUGGAUUUGAAUUCGGGGGGACUUUCCCAAACUGACAAUCCUCUAGGGCCUUAGAGAGCUUCCUGUCCUUCCACCCUUGGGGUUUUCUAUCCCCAGUUCUUCUAAGGAGAGGGAAGGUGCUACAGUCAGCAAAAGAACAGAUCAAGUGGUCCCUCCUUCGAUGAAGAUGUUUCUUGCCCAGUUCCUUGUGCCUCAAAACCCCACAUCUGCUAUGACUUCUUAUCCAGGCCCCCAGCAGAUGCUCUUAGGGUCAUGUUGGAGAUCACAAUGGACCCUUGCAUCUCUAUCCUUUCUGGAGUUGUUUGUCCUCCACUUCCUUCCCACUCAAGGGCAGAUCUGAAUGAGGCAGGGGAGACACCCUCUUCCUACUACUCUGGUUCUCCCACCCCCACUUUCUCUCCUGGCCCUUUUCUGUAGCUGUACUUCAGAUCAAAGCAGGAGAAAGAAUGUGCUGAGUGUUUCCCUCCCUGUGCCCCAAGGGCCUUCAUCCCAGCAUCCCAUAUGUCCAGCAAAGGGAGGACUCCUUCCUUCAGCCCAAGUGGGUCUGGAGUGGCAGGGGCUGCGCAGCUUCUCUCCUUCCUGCUGCCCUGCCCUCAGCCUUGAAGAGAUUGGGAACAGAGCUGCAAAGGGACAGUGAUCUAACCGCUGUCCGUGAGUGAGUGUGCAGGCAGUGCGGUCUCUGCUAUAAUCUACCCUUCACAAGGCCGCUGUGCCUACUCUAGGUCUGUACCACACCUCUUCGAGGUCUUUGCCUGGUGUGGCCUCUGGUAGCUUGGAGCAAAGCCAGACCUUGGAACUAAAACAACAGAGGUGGCCACCAGAAGAGUUUCUACACAGAACCAGGAAGAAAGAGUCCUUCAUGACUUGGGUCUUGCCAUGUUCCUUCUCAGCUCUCCCACUCAUACUCCUCUGCCGUGGUUCUGCAGUCUGCUCUUGAGCUCUCCCUCCCUGCCCCAGCCUUCCCCUCAACCGAGGGGCUGGUGCCUGCCUUUCUUCUAAGGCUUGGAUUCCCGUUCUUGGUUGAAAUGUUGCCCCUUGACCCCACAUCUCCGUGAAAAUGUCUUAGAAAAACGUUCCCCUGCAAACAUUCUGCCCCGUGCUUUGGCUGAAGUGGGCAGACUGGAGGCGGCCUCUGCAAGAAAUGGAGUCAGGCGAAGUCCACCUUGUACGUUGCUGUGCGUCAGAGGAAUAAAGCGAAUCU